GACGCUGAAAAAGAUGCAGCUGCUGAAGCUCUGCAGUGGUUGACUGGUGAGACACAGUCGUCUUCUAAGGCUGUUGAACACAUGUCAGCACUUCUGAAGAAAAGCAAGAGUAAAAAGCAACUUCAUAGUACGAAAUGGAGGUAAUUGUCUUGGGUCACUAACCUGUCAGUCUCGCGGAUGAAGAGGUCCUUGCUGUCAUUAUAUUUCUUGGUUGAAUAGAAGACGAGCAACUUUUGGCCAAGAAGAUGCAGCUUGAAGGGUGUAUAUAAUCAUGUCUUAUUUGAUUGAAGAGGGUUGCUGACAAUCUUCGAGGAAGCUAGUGGAUUUAUGCAUUGGCAAUGUGGGAGGAAUGUAUCAAUCUGGCAACUUCCUAUUUUGGUGACUUCAUUAAUAUUCACUGCACUAUGUGGUCAUUCACUAACCUGACAGUCCCGCGGAUGAAGAGGUCCUUGCUGGCAUUAUAUUUCUUGGCUGAACAGAAACGAGUAACUUUUGGCCAAGAAAUGCAGCUUGAAGGGUGUAUAUAAUCAUGUCUUAUUGGACCUUCAUUUUUGAAGAGGGUUGCUGACAAUCUUCGAGGAAGCUAGUGGAUUUAUGCAUUGGCAAUGUGAGAGGCAUGUGUCAAUACGGCAACUUCCUAUUUGGUGACUUGAUUAAUAUUCACUGCACUAAGUGG
rnacentral:lncRNA from 1 species